rnacentral:rRNA from 1 species
CAAACGACUCUCGGCAACGGAUAUCUCGGCUCACGCAUCGAUGAAGAACGUAGCAAAAUGCGAUACUUGGUGUGAAUUGCAGAAUCCCGUGAACCAUCGAGUUUUUGAACGCAAGUUGCGCCCAAAGCCUUCCGGCCGAGGGCACGCCUGCCUGGGCGUCACGC